UACGUAGGGUGCAAGCGUUAAUCGGAAUUACUGGGCGUAAAGCGUGCGCAGGCGGUUGUGCAAGACAGAUGUGAAAUCCCCGGGCUUAACCUGGGAACUGCAUUUGUGACUGCACGGCUAGAGUGUGUCAGAGGGGGGUAGAAUUCCACGUGUAGCAGUGAAAUUCGUAGAUAUUCGGAAGAACACCAGUGGCGAAGGCGACUUACUGGCCCGAUACUGACGCUGAGACACGAAAGCGUGGGGAGCAAACAGG
rnacentral:rRNA from 1 species